UGUUAAUGUAGGAAAGAAGAAAGAAAGUAAACUAAAGGUGGAACAGGGAUAGUAGUGGAACCAGGACAGGCAGAAGACUGUAGAUUAUAAAUUUAACACCAUAACAAAGAAUUUGUGCUUCAGCUUUCUUCCCAGAAUAUUUUCAUCUAUCUAUGCUAUACCAAAUUUUGUAAUACAGUUCUUUUCACAAGUGGCCUAAGAGGAUAUCAGAAGGCAGCAGAAGAUUCCACCUGAAAAUGGCAUAAUAUGUGGGUACAUCAGAAGUCUCUAUCAAGAGAAUGGGGCAGAGCUAUUACUGCACAACAUGAUAGACAAAAAAGAAAAAAAAAACCACAACGUGAAGGUUUCCAUAGCAGAGAAGAACUUCUAAUGGGGAACUCCAGCGGGAUAAGAGAUAUGCAAUUCAAAGAUGAAAACUUCAGUGACACAAAAUAUAAUACAGCCCACAGAGAAUGGCACAUUAAUGUAGGAGAAAUCACAGGCAGAAAGUAAAAGUCGUGUCCAUUCUGUACCCUUGGACACAGG
rnacentral:lncRNA from 1 species